rnacentral:ribozyme from 2 species
AUUAUAACUCCGCCUGUAUCUCCUCCUGGGGCUACUGCCGGUCCUAAGCCCGGAUAAAGGAGGAGAGUUGG